rnacentral:rRNA from 1 species
UCAGGACGAACGCUGGCGGCGUGCCUAAUACAUGCAAGUCGAGCGGAUCUUUGGGAGCUUGCUCCCAAAGAUUAGCGGCGGACGGGUGAGUAACACGUGGGCAACCUGCCUAUGAGACUGGGAUAACUCCGGGAAACCGGAGCUAAUACCGGAUAAUUCUUUUCUACACAUGUAGAAAAGCUGAAAGAUGGUUUCGGCUAUCACUCAUAGAUGGGCCCGUGGCGCAUUAGCUAGUUGGUGAGGUAACGGCUCACCAAGGCGACGAUGCGUAGCCGACCUGAGAGGGUGAUCGGCCACACUGGGACUGAGACACGGCCCAGACUCCUACGGGAGGCAGCAGUAGGGAAUCUUCCGCAAUGGACGAAAGUCUGACGGAGCAACGCCGCGUGAGUGAUGAAGGUUUUCGGAUCGUAAAACUCUGUUGUUAGGGAA